rnacentral:rRNA from 1 species
UACGAAGGGGGCUAGCGUUGUUCGGAAUCACUGGGCGUAAAGGGCGCGUAGGCGGCGGUUCAAGUCGGGGGUGAAAGCCUGUGGCUCAACCACAGAAUGGCCUUCGAUACUGGACGGCUGGAGACCGGAAGAGGUGAGUGGAACUGCGAGUGUAGAGGUGAAAUUCGUAGAUAUUCGCAAGAACACCAGUGGCGAAGGCGGCUCACUGGUCCGGGUCUGACGCUGAGGCGCGAAAGCGUGGGGAGCAAACAGG